AAUAUUGCACAAUGGGCGCAAGCCUGAUGCAGCAACGCCGCGUGCCCGAGGACGGCCUUCGGGUUGUAAAGGGCUUUUCUGGCUGACGAGGAAGGACGGUAGGCCAGGAAUAAGGACCGGCUAACUCCGUGCCAGCAGCCGCGGUAAUACGGAGGGUCCAAGCGUUAUCCGGAUUUAUUGGGUUUAAAGGGUACGUAGGCGGAAGAUUAAGUCAGUAGUGAAAGCCUCCCGCUCAACGGGAGAAUUGCUAUUGAUACUGAUUUUCUUGAAUAUAGUUGAAGUAGGCGGAAUACGACAUGUAGCGGUGAAAUGCAUAGAUAUGUCGUGGAACACCGAUCGCGAAGGCAGCUUACUAAGCUAUUAUUGACGCUGAUGUACGAAAGCGUGGGGAGCGAA
rnacentral:rRNA from 1 species